ACUUGGUUGCUCAAGCGCAGAGCGCCGGAGAGGGAGCCUCAGCGGCGGCCGCGAGCAGCUGUACGUUCUCGGGCGCGGGUGAGAGCUCCGAUAUGAAUGGAAGGAUCGAACGCCUCGCUCUCGGCCUCAUCUAUUUUCGGGUGAGAGACAGCGCUUCUUAAUCCAAACGCUCGCUACCUCCUCGUUCAUGGCGAGCUCGCGAGACCUGAUUCGAAUUGCCGUUUUCAUCGAAUCAAUUCACUCGUCUCGCUCCGGUGGUUACCGAGGUAGAACUACAAAUUUUCUGGCCCCAUUACGUCUCUCAGUGCUCUUACUUACUUGAUAUUGGGAUGCGCUGAUAAAAUAUCGGCCGUUCCAAGUAAAGCACAAAAUUCACGGCAUUCUCGUUGGAUUUCACUUUAAUAAUAUACUCGAGCAAACCCCUCAUUAACGCCGUUAGUCUUCGACAAGCCGUCUGUGUACUACGUCUCUAAUUAAAAUUAAACUAGUGCGACCUAAUUUUUGAAAGCAUGUAAUGGGUCGUCAGCGAUACGUCAAAGGCCAAAGAAUUUUAGAAGGCCCUUUGUAAAAUAGAAAAAGACAAUUACAUUAUAUUAUAGUUCGACUUUAGUCCAUCUAUAUGACACAAACCACUUUAGUCCCACCCAGAAAUGUAGUAUUACCGAGAGGAUAAUAGAUUAUAUAGUUUGCGGCCUCCAGAAAUAAACAAGUACGCCUACGCAGAAACCUUUCAUCUAGAUACUGGAGUAUAAAAAAGAUAGGGCGAUGAAAAUCUAAUGAGAAGAAUGCUGGUGA